UACGGGGGGGGCAAGCGUUGUUCGGAAUUACUGGGCGUAAAGGACUCGUAGGCGGCCAACUAAGUCAGACGUGAAAUCCCCAGGCUCAACCUGGGAACUGCGUCUGAUACUGGAUGGCUUGAAUUCGGGAGAGGGAUGCAGAAUUCCAGGUGUAGCGGUGAAAUGCGUAGAUAUCUGGAGGAAUACCGGUGGCGAAGGCGGCAUCCUGGACCGACAUUGACGCUGAUGAGCGAAAGCUAGGGGAGCAAACGGG
rnacentral:rRNA from 1 species